ACGAACGCUGGCGGCGUGCUUCACACCUGCAAGUCGAACGGAAAGGCCCUGCUUUUGUGGGGUGCUCGAGUGGCGAACGGGUGAGUAACACGUGAGUAACCUGCCCUUGACUUUGGGAUAACUUCAGGAAACUGGGGCUAAUACCGGAUAGGAGCUCCUGCUGCAUGGUGGGGGUUGGAAAGUUUCGGCGGUUGGGGAUGGACUCGCGGCUUAUCAGCUUGUUGGUGGGGUAGUGGCUUACCAAGGCUUUGACGGGUAGCCGGCCUGAGAGGGUGACCGGCCACAUUGGGACUGAGAUACGGCCCAGACUCCUACGGGAGGCAGCAGUGGGGAAUAUUGCACAAUGGGCGGAAGCCUGAUGCAGCAACGCCGCGUGCGGGAUGACGGCCUUCGGGUUGUAAACCGCUUUCGCCUGUGACGAAGCGUGAGUGACGGUAAUGGGUAAAGAAGCACCGACUAACUACGUG
rnacentral:rRNA from 1 species